AAAAGAAUCUUAAAUUUUUGAAUAGGACCAAUUCAAAAGUACACUUUUGGAAUUUGCAAAGAAAAAAUACUUCUAUCUACUUUUGAAUUAAAGUUUACAUAUUUUAUAAAUAUAAAGAUUACCAGUAAAUAAGUUUAAAGGGAACCUCUGAAAAUAAGUCAGACGGAAUAUCUUAGUUUAUUGAAUUGACUUGAUUAUUUUUUUUAAGUAAAAGAUAUAUUAUAGCUAUUUAAUUUCAUCAUUUUCAUUUUACUAUCAAAAUUAUUUACAGGUGCAACAUAUCUGUGUCAUCAGAUAAUGUUAUUGUGUUUGGUUAACCUACAUAUGUUUUUUAAUUAACUUUCUUUUGGUUUUUCUGAUUAAUUAAAUGCUGAAUGAUAAUUGAGUGUAGCUUAUUUGAGUGUCUCUGGUAUUUGCUGUCUUAGAUUUUCAAUGUAAGAUUUCACCACAUUAUUUUUAUAUUUUGGUCAAUGGGAGAUAAUUCUGUAUAUUUAACAGUUUACCAAUUGUUAUCUCUAUUUAACAUAUUGAAAAUUAAUGAACAAUUAAUCUUAAAAAACUUAUUAUUUUCACUCAAUUGUCCUAGUACAUUUAAUAUUUGAUACUUUUGUGCAUGAAAUUUCAUAAUUUAGUUGAUAAAAAUUAUUUGUGUGCUACAUGUAUUUUAUUCAAUUGUACAUAUUUGAAAAUUUACUUUUUUGACUUGUAUCAUGUGUAUUCAUUUGGGGUGAGAUCCUAUAAAAUUUGAAUUAAUGUCUGAGCAGCAUAUUGGUUUGAAAUUAGCAAUUAUGUUAUGCUUGUUGUUUAAUUUUUUGCGAUUUGAUGUAUUAAUUUGUUUUUAUUUAGAUCGACAAA
rnacentral:lncRNA from 1 species